rnacentral:rRNA from 1 species
UACGAAGGGGGCUAGCGUUGCUCGGAAUUACUGGGCGGAAAGGGCGCGUAGGCGGCCCUGUUAGUCAGGCGUGAAAGUCCUGGGCUCAACCUGGGAACUGCGCUUGAUACGGCAGAGCUAGAGGAUGGAAGAGGGUCGCGGAAUUCCCAGUGUAGAGGUGAAAUUCGUAGAUAUUGGGAAGAACACCGGUGGCGAAGGCGGCUACCUGGACCGGUUCUGACGCUGAGGCGCGAAAGCGUGGGUAGCAAACAGG